rnacentral:rRNA from 1 species
UACGUAGGGUGCAAGCGUUAUUCGGAUUUAUUGGGCGUAAAGCGCAUGUAGGCGGUUCGGUAAGUCUGGUGUGAAAGCCCUCGACUCAAUCGAGGAAGUGCAUUGGAUACUGUCGAACUGGAGUACAGGAGGGGUGAGCGGAAUUCCAGGUGUAGAGGUGAAAUUCGUAGAUAUCUGGAGGAACAACAGCGGCGAAGGCGGCUCACUGGACUGUAACUGACGCUCAGAUGCGAUAGUGUGGGGAGCAAACAGG